GUAGUCUCGCACAGAUGCAUAUCAAUAAGCGGAGGAAAAGAAACUAACAAGGAUUCCCCUAGUAACGGCGAGUGAAGCGGGAAGAGCUCAAAUUCGAAAUCUUAAAGGGUUUCCCUUUACGAAUUGUAGUUUAAAGAAGUGUUUUCUGUUGAGGUUUUGGUAAAAGUUCUUUGGAAUAGGACAUCAUAGAGGGUGAGAAUCCCGUAUUUGACCUUUACUUUCAACUUUGUGAUACACUUUCAAAGAGUCGGAUUGUUUGGGAAUGCAGUCCAAAAUGGGUGGUAAAUUUCAUCUAAAGCUAAAUAUUGGCGAGAGACCGAUAGCGAACAAGUACCGUGAGGGAAAGAUGAAAAGAACUUUGAAAAGAGAGUUAAACAGUACGUGAAAUUGUCAAAAGGGAAGCGUUUGACACCAGUGUUGUUUUUCUGAAAAUCAAUUAAAGAACUGUUUAUGCUAAGCUGUUUAGACUUUAUCAGCUAUCUGUUUAGUUUUGAGCUUUUCUUUAAUGCACUUUUCAGUUAACAAGUCAACAUCAAUUCUUUUGCUGUAAAAAAGCUUGAGGAAGGUGGCUUGAGAUUCGUCUUAAGUGUUUAUAGCCUCUUGCCUAUGCAGUCGGAGAGAUUGAGGUCUGCAGCGUAGAUCCUUCGGGGCUAAAUGCAUUUGUGCUAAGUUAUAGCAUUUUAUAGACAACUUGUUGACUAUGAUUUGUCUUGUAGCUUACUCGCUUAUGUUAUUUUACCUACGCUUAGGAUGUUGAUGUGAUACUGCGAGCA
rnacentral:rRNA from 1 species